rnacentral:rRNA from 1 species
UACGGAGGGUGCAAGCGUUAUCCGGAUUUACUGGGUUUAAAGGGUGCGUAGGUGGGCAGGUAAGUCAGUGGUGAAAUCUCCGGGCUUAACUCGGAAAGGUCAACUGAUACUGUGCGACUAGAGUGCAGAAGGGGCAACUGGAAUUCUCGGUGUAGCGGUGAAAUGCGUAGAUAUCGAGAGGAACACCUGCGGCGAAGGCGGGUUGCUGGGCUGACACUGACGCUGAGGCGCGAAAGCCAGGGGAGCGAACGGG